rnacentral:rRNA from 1 species
ACGGAAGGCAGCAGUGGGGAAUAUUGCACAAUGGGGGAAACCCUGAUGCAGCGACGCCGCGUGAAGGAAGAAGUAUCUCGGUAUGUAAACUUCUAUCAGCAGGGAAGAUAAUGACGGUACCUGACUAAGAAGCUCCGGCUAAAUACGUGCCAGCAGCCGCGGUAAUACGUAUGGAGCAAGCGUUAUCCGGAUUUACUGGGUGUAAAGGGAGCGUAGACGGCAUAGCAAGUCUGAUGUGAAAUCCCCGGGCUCAACCCGGGAACUGCAUUGGAAACUGUUAAGCUAGAGUGCAGGAGAGGUAAGUGGAAUUCCUAGUGUAGCGGUGAAAUGCGUAGAUAUUAGGAGGAACACCAGUGGCGAAGGCGGCUUACUGGACUGUAACUGACGUUGAGGCUCGAAAGCGUGGGGAGCAAACAGGAUUAGAUACCCUGGUA